CACGGGGGGAGCAAGCGUUGUUCGGAAUCACUGGGCGUAAAGGGCGUGUAGGCGGUCAGGUAAGUGGGACGUGAAAUGCCUCGGCUCACCCGAGGAGCGGCGUCCCAUACUGCUUGGCUUGAGUACGGGAGAGGAGUGUGGGAAUUCCUGGUGUAGCGGUGAAAUGCGUAGAUAUCAGGAGGAACACCGGUGGCGAAGGCGCACAUCUGGCCCGAUACUGACGCUGAGGCGCGAAAGCUAGGGGAGCGAACGGG
rnacentral:rRNA from 1 species